UUGCUAAUAAGUAUUUGAGACGGCUCAAGCCGUCGCUAAUUCCAUCGAUAAUAUUUAAUUUUAUUUUUUUAAAUAAUUUAUAAUAAUACUUUGUUAUCAGCGAUGAUUUUAGCCAACGCUAGUGCCAUCGAUAAUAGUUAAUUUUAUUUUUUUUAAAAAAUCAAUAAUAAUAUUUUUUUUAAAUCUAUUUUAAUUAAUCACGAUCAAUUAUGGUUCCUAACACCUGUUAUAAUUAAAAUCUAAAGAUAAUAUGAUAAUUAUAAAUAAAAAAAUUAAUUAUAUUAUAUUAAAAAUAUAAAUUAUAUAAUUUUACAAGCAGUAUCAAAAAAAAUACAAUGCAUCAAGAUAAAAAAAAUUAGCCUAGAUCCUUCUCAUUGUCCUCCUCAUCCUUUUGCUCCUCUCCAGCAGUUGGUAGAUGAGAGCCGGAUGUCCCACAUCCUAAAAUGAAGAAAAAUAAAAUAUUAUUAAUAAAUUUUGAUACGAAGGUGUAUCUUUCGAUAUGGAUGUAUAUCUUUCGAUAUACUCCUCCGAUUCUCGAACAGAUUAUUUCUACACAUUCUAUUCGAUGAUAUAGAAUUAUGGACAUCUCCGACCUAUCAAUUGAAUGAUUAGAUUGAAUUUUUAGCCCCUAUAUCUCCUUCCCUGACUCAAGCCUAAAAAUAUGAAGAUUUUAAAUAUAAAAAUUUAAAACAAGUAAAAGAGUUUACUAAUAAAAUUACCUAAUGUGAUAGCUGGAACAACGAGCCCUACUAAUCAUGCGGCUGUGGGUCCCAAAGAAUCUCCACGACCAUAUCACGGACAGUAUCCCAUAAGCUCUGAGAUCAUUGGCUCAGAAGCCUCUGCACGACCUUCUCUACAUGCGCAUCGCUCCAAGUCUGGAACAUCGAGGCCUGUAAGGAUGCCAAAGAGUAUCGAGUCGCUGAAAAAUCGAAGCUGUGGCCAAAUCCUAUGAUCUGACUCCUACUCACCCCUCCGAUGAUCCUGAGCCAUCUCUCAAGCUCAAGGAGGGGCUGAGUUGAUGGGUCAUCAUCGUUGCAUGACGUUGUGCCAUGCAACAACGUACUCUGUAUAAUUCACCUACAUAGUUCAGAAAUAUAUUAGUUCUAAUAUACAUAUCAGAUCCUAUAACAAUUUAAUAAAUAUAAUUUAAAAUUCUUACUGUGAUUUAUCAUGAUCUAGAAUCUAAAUAAUCACCAGUCCUCCUAGACUGGUGUGUGGCCUCCC
rnacentral:lncRNA from 1 species